rnacentral:rRNA from 1 species
GGCUCAGAACGAACGCUGGCGGCAGGCUUAACACAUGCAAGUCGAGCGCCCCGCAAGGGGAGCGGCAGACGGGUGAGUAACGCGUGGGAAUCUACCCUUUUCUACGGAAUAACGCAUGGAAACGUGUGCUAAUACCGUAUGAGCCCUUCGGGGGAAAGAUUUAUCGGGAAAGGAUGAGCCCGCGUUGGAUUAGCUAGUUGGUGGGGUAAAGGCCUACCAAGGCGACGAUCCAUAGCUGGUCUGAGAGGAUGAUCAGCCACAUUGGGACUGAGACACGGCCCAAACUCCUACGGGAGGCAGCAGUGGGGAAUAUUGGACAAUGGGCGCAAGCCUGAUCCAGCCA